rnacentral:rRNA from 1 species
GACGAACGCUGGCGGCGUGCUUAACACAUGCAAGUCGAACGAAGAGCGAUGGAAGCUUGCUUCUAUCAAUCUUAGUGGCGAACGGGUGAGUAACGCGUAAUCAACCUGCCCUUCAGAGGGGGACAACAGUUGGAAACGACUGCUAAUACCGCAUACGAUCUAAUCUCGGCAUCGAGGAUAGAUGAAAGGUGGCCUCUACAUGUAAGCUAUCACUGAAGGAGGGGAUUGCGUCUGCUUAGCUAGUUGGAGGGGUAACGGCCCACCAAGGCGAUGAUCAGUAGCCGGUCUGAGAGGAUGAACGGCCACAUUGGGACUGAGACACGGCCCAGACUCCUACGGGAGGCAGCAGUGGGGAAUCUUCCGCAAUGGACGAAAGUCUGACGGAGCAACGCCGCGUGAGUGAUGACGGCCUUCGGGUUGUAAAGCUCUGUUAAUCGGGACGAAAGGCCUUCUUGCGAAUAGUGAGAAGGAUUGACGGUACCGGAAUAGAAAGCCACGGCUAACUACGUG